UGAAGAGCCCUAUGGUGAUCUACUUCAACUUAAUGAAUGGUGCCGUGUGUGUGACCUUCUAUGAUCUGUGCAUUUGCAGAUGCAUUAUACCACAAAAGGUAGGUUUUUCACUAUUUUAAAAAAAAUCUUUGGCUUAUUUUUCAGUUAUUUUUAUCAGUCCCACUUUUCUCUUUUCUUCUUGUGAUAUUCAUUCGUACAUGUGUUAAACUAAGAGAUAUUGCCCCACAGGUCAAUAAAGCUCUGUUUAAUAUUUUUCUUUAAUGUUUUAUGUCCUAUUAAUCUGUCUUCAAGUUCACCGAUUUCUUUUUUUAGUCCACAAUCUUUUGCUAAGGAUCUUCUGUGAUUCUUUUUAAACAUUUUGAUAUUGUACUAAUCAACUAUAGAAUUUUUAUUUGUUUCUUAUUUAAUGUUUCUAGUUCUAUGAGAUUUUUUCAUCUGAUCAUUCACUAUGCCUACCUUUUCUUAUUUACUUGAUUAUAUUUAAAACAGGCAUUUUAAAGUUCUUGUCUUCUUAUUCUAACUUACAAGUCAUGACAGAAUUGGCUUUUAUUGACUUUUAUUUCUCUUGUUUAAGGAUAAUAUUUUAUUUAUUUCUUCACAUGUCAAGUAGAUUUUAAUUGCAUACUAGACAUUGUUGAUGAUACAUUACAGAUAAUGUUUUUAUUACCUUUUUUUGAAAAGUAUUUACUUUUGCUCCAGCAGGAAUUGAAUUUGAACUACCAGUAGAUUUUUCUUUAUCCUGUUAC
rnacentral:lncRNA from 10 species